ensembl:lncRNA
GUUGUCCCUGGGACAUCGUGUGAUAGCUUGUAAAUAAUGGAAUGAAAAUUAUUGAUUGUUAUUAACUUGUGAAAAAGAAGUGUAACAAAUCCACAUGUUAUGUUCUUACACCCUUACAGAAACUGUGACUCCUUCACAAUGUCAGGUAAUAGAUGGCCUAAUCUAUUUGCAGUGUGAGAAUUUCCCUCACAUUUAUCCAAUACCAAGCCAAAUCACUGGAAAAAUUUUGGAUGGGUCCACAAGAGCACAAAGUGCAUACUUUUUGAAGAAAAACAUCUUUCAGAUGUAUGAGAAAUUGAUUGGAGCCUGUCUGGAAAACGGCAGCCACUGGACCUUGUUUGCAAGUUGCACAGAUUUUGCACUCUCUCUAGUGCAUGAUACUUUUCAGUGUCCCUCAUUAGGAAAGCUCAAGGCCCAAGCCUACCAUAUCCAUCUUUUUACAAAACAGUUUUGUGACAUACCCAAGAGGACCAUAGUCUAUAUGAAUUCAUUUGGCGAGUCGGAGGUCAGAAAAAGUGCGGUGUUGAAAAACUGGAGCUCAUUUGCUUCAGCAAGAGGCUGCACUGGAGAGUGGACCUUGUCACAUGUGAGCCACCCACAUCAACAGGAUGGGAACUCAUGUGGAGUGCAUGUCG